GUAUCUGCCUACAACAUAGCAUUAAUGCACCAUAUCCCAUUAGAACUUUGUAGUUAAGCCUUCUUAGGCUAGAGUAGUAUUGGGAUGGGUGACCACUUGGGAAGUACUAGUAUUUUACAUGCC
rnacentral:rRNA from 1 species